GAUCCUGCCGGACCCUACUGCUAUCGGGAUGAGAUUAAGACAUGCUAGUUGUACGCUUCCUAGCAACGUUGGGAGCGUAGCGGAAAACUCCGUAACACGUAGUUAAUCUUCCCUUAGGACGGGGAUAACCCCGGGAAACUGGGGCUAAUAACCGAUAGGCGGAAACGCCUGGAAUGGCCUUCCACCUAAAGGGUCUUAGAAACACGCUCAUAAGACUGCCUAAGGAUGAGACUGCGGCCGAUCAGGUUGUUGGUGGGGUAACGGCCUACCAAGCCUAUAACCGGUACGGGCCCUGAGAGGGGGAGCCCGGAGGUGGGAACUGAGACAAGGUCCCAGACCCUACGGGGUGCAGCAGUUGCGAAACCUCUACAAUGCACGAAAGUGUGAUAGGGUUAUCCCGAGUGCCAUCCGAUAAGGUUGGCUUUUCCUUGGUGUAAAGAUCCAGGGGAAUAAAGGGGGGGCAAGACUGGUGUCAGCCGCCGCGGUAAUACCAGCCCCCUGAGUGGUGGGGACAAUUAUUUGGCCUAAAGCGUUUGUAGCCGGCUUAGUAAGUCUUUCGUUAAAUCCAGUGACUUAAUCAUUGGGCUGCGAGAGGUACUACUAGGCUUGAGGACGGGAGAGGUCGACGGUAUUUCGGGGGUAGGGGUAAAAUCCUAUAAUCCCGGGAGGACCACCAGUGGCGAAGGCUGUCGGCUAGAACGCGCCCGACGGUGAGGGAUGAAAGCUGGGGGAGCGAACCGGAUUAGAUACCCGGGUAGUCCCAGCUGUAAACGAUGCAGGCUAGGUGUUUGGGCGGCCACGAGCCGCCCUAGUGCCGCAGGGAAGCUGUUAAGCCUGCCGCCUGGGGAGUACGGCCGCAAGGCUGAAACUUAAAGGAAUUGGCGGGGGAGCACCACAAGGGGUGAAGCUUGCGGUUCAAUUGGAGUCAACGCCGG
rnacentral:rRNA from 1 species